GAUGAACGCUGGCGGCGUGCCUAAUACAUGCAAGUCGAGCGAACGGACGAGAAGCUUGCUUCUCUGAUGUUAGCGGCUGACGGGUGAGUAACAUGUGGAUAACCUACCUAUAAUACUGGGAUAACUUCGGGAAACCGUAGCUAAUACCGGAUAAUAUUUUGAACCGCAUGGUUCAAAGGUGAAAGACGUUCUUGCUGUCUCUUAUAGAUGGAUCCGCGCUGCAUUAGCUAGUUGGUAAGGUAACGGCUUACCAAGGCAACGAUGCAUAGCCGACCUGAGAGAGUGAUCGGCCACACUGGAACUGAGACACGGUCCAGACUCCUACGGGAGGCACCAGUAGGGAAUCUUGCGCAAUGGGCGAAAGCAUGACGGAGCAGCGCCGCGUGAGUGAUGAAGGUAUUCGGAUCGUAAAACUCUGUUAUUAGGGAAGAACAUAUGUGUAAGUAACUGUGCACAUCUUGACGGUACCUAAUCAGAAAGCCACGGCUAACUACGUG
rnacentral:rRNA from 1 species